rnacentral:tRNA from 1 species
AACGACGUAGUUUAAUCAAAACCAAUUCCUUGCGUGAAUUAAAUGGGGGUAUUUGGCCUUCCGUUGUUA